GUCCCUAUCGUCUAGCGGCCCAGGACGCCGACUCCUUCCUUACCGGUUUCACUUACGAGGGAGACUCACAACGGAGACCGGGGUUCGAAUCCCCGUGGGGACGCCA
rnacentral:tRNA from 1 species